GACGAACGCUGGCGGCGUGCCUAAUACAUGCAAGUCGAGCGGACCUUUCGGGGUCAGCGGCGGACGGGUGAGUAACACGUGGGCAAUCUGCCCGAUACUCUGGGAUAACGCUUGGAAACGAGUGCUAAUACCGGAUGGUCUUCUUGGCCGCAUGGCCGAGAAGGAAAAGACGCGUUCGCGUCGGUGUCGGAUGAGCCCGCGGCGCAUUAGCUAGUUGGUGAGGUAACGGCCCACCAAGGCGACGAUGCGUAGCCGACCUGAGAGGGUGACCGGCCACACUGGGACUGAGACACGGCCCAGACUCCUACGGGAGGCAGCAGUAGGGAAUCUUCCACAAUGGGCGAAAGCCUGAUGGAGCAACGCCGCGUGAGUGAUGAAGGCCUUCGGGUUGUAAAACUCUGUCAUUCGGGACGAACCGGAGUCUGAGGAAAUGCAGACUCUCUGACGGUACCGGAGGAGGAAGCCCCGGCUAACUACGUGCCAGCGCCGCGGUAA
rnacentral:rRNA from 1 species